rnacentral:rRNA from 1 species
AACGAACGCUGGCGGCAGGCUUAACACAUGCAAGUCGAGCGCCCCGCAAGGGGAGCGGCAGACGGGUGAGUAACGCGUGGGAACGUACCUUUUGGUUCGGAACAACUCCGGGAAACUGGAGCUAAUACCGGAUAAGCCCUAACGGGGAAAGAUUUAUCGCCGAAAGAUCGGCCCGCGUCUGAUUAGCUAGUUGGUGAGGUAACGGCUCACCAAGGCGACGAUCAGUAGCUGGUCUGAGAGGAUGAUCAGCCAGACUGGGACUGAGACACGGCCCAGACUCCUACGGGAGGCAGCAGUGGGGAAUAUUGUACAAGGGGCGCAAGCCUGAUCCAGCCAUGCCGCGUGAGUGAUGAAGGCCUUAGGGUUGUAAAGCUCUUUUGUCCGGGAAGAUAAUGACUGUACCGGAAGAAUAAGCCCCGGCUAACUUCGUG